UUAUGUACAUGUCUACAACGUUAAUGCACCAAAUCCCAUCAGAACUCCGCAUUUUAGCGUGUUUGGGAUAGAGUAGCACUGGGAUGGGUGACCUCCCGAGUAGUCCUAGUGUUUUACAUGCC
rfam:Picea glauca, whole genome shotgun sequence.